UACGUAGGGACCAAGCGUUGUUCGGAUUUACUGGGCGUAAAGGGCGCGUAGGCGGCUUGACAAGUCACUUGUGAAAUCUCCGGGCUUAACUCCGAAACUGCAUUCGAUACUGCCGUGCUUGAGGACUGGAGAGGAGACUGGAAUUUACGGUGUAGCGGUGAAAUGCGUAGAUAUCGUAAGGAAGACCAGUGGCGAAGGCGGGUCUCUGGACAGUUCCUGACGCUGAGGCACGAAGGCCAGGGGAGCAAACGGG
rnacentral:rRNA from 1 species